rnacentral:rRNA from 1 species
GUGACAGGCCUUCGGGCGCUGACGAGUGGCGGACGGGUGAGUAACGCGUGGGAAUCUGCCUAGUAGUGGGGGACAACCUGGGGAAACUCAGGCUAAUACCGCAUACGCCCUACGGGGGAAAGCAGGGGAUCCUCGGACCUUNCGCUAUUAGAUGAGCCUGCGUCGGAUUAGCUUGUUGGUGGGGUAAAGGCCUACCAAGGCGACGAUCCGUAGCUGGUUUGAGAGGACGAUCAGCCACACUGGGACUGAGACACGGCCCAGACUCCUACGGGAGGCAGCAGUGGGGAAUAUUGGACAAUGGGGGCAACCCUGAUCCAGCAAUGCCGCGUGUGUGAAGAAGGCCUGCGGGUUGUAAAGCACUUUCAGAUGGGAAGAAAAGCCUAAGGAUAAUACCCUUGGGUCUUGACGUUACUAUCAGAAGAAGCACCGGCUAACUCUGUGCCAGCAGCCGCGGUAAUACAGAGGGUGCGAGCGUUAAUCGGAAUUACUGGGCGUAAAGCGCGCGUAGGCGGUUUAUUAAGUCAGCUGUGAAAGCCCUGGGCUUAACCUGGGAAUUGCAGUUGAUACUGGUAAGCUAGAGUGUGGUAGAGGGUGGCGGAAUUCCAGGUGUAGCGGUGAAAUGCGUAGAUAUCUGGAGGAACAUCAGUGGCGAAGGCGGCCACCUGGACCAACACUGACGCUGAGG